rnacentral:rRNA from 1 species
UACGGAGGGUGCAAGCGUUAUCCGGAAUCAUUGGGUUUAAAGGGUCCGCAGGCGGUCUUAUAAGUCAGUGGUGAAAGCCUACAGCUCAACUGUAGAACUGCCAUUGAUACUGCAGGUCUAGAGUAUAGAUGACGUUGGCGGAAUAUGACAUGUAGUGGUGAAAUACUUAGAUAUGUCAUAGAACACCGAUUGCGAAGGCAGCUAACGAAACUAUAACUGACGCUGAGGCACGAAAGUGCGGGGAUCAAACAGG